AUGUUGUCGUAUAUAUUCCUUCCUACAGAUGCAAGAUGCUGCCCGUGCUGCCUGCGUUUCUCGCUCCUUCCUAGGCUACUGGAGAUGCCAUCCCAAUCUCACCUUCACCAAGAAACGAUGUGCCCCAAAGAAAAUUUGAAGACAGCGGGAUCAAAUGCUAUUAUAAGAGACUACAGCAACAAAAUUGACUGUGUUCCGACGAACCGCUCGGGCGCUGCCACCGUGACGAAACUCAGGCUUGACUACCAUGUUCCUCCUGAUGGUGCUGAAUUGUAUCAUCGUCUCGAUAGCUGGCUUCAGAUGGCUGUUACGCUGAGGACCAAAGAACUCGAGCUUCAAGUAUGGUCGAAAGAGGCGAGGUUUGAUUUCCCAUGCACACUACUAUCUGACAGGUGUGGGGACUCGAUCCAGAAGCUUUUCCUUUUCAGAUGCGCCUUGCGUCCCACAUUUCAACUUGGUUUGAGAAGCCUGAAAACACUGCAUCUGCGCGAUGUGCGUGUUACGGGGGAGGAGUUAGGGUGCCUUCUGUCCAGUUCCACUGCUUUGGAACACCUGGAGCUUGUAUAUUGCGAUGAUAUUGUUUGCCUCGAGAUACCUUGCCUGCUGCUGCGGCUCAGCUUUCUGGAGGUGGCUGGAUGCAUGAAUAUUAAGUGA
rnacentral:rRNA from 1 species